rnacentral:lncRNA from 1 species
GCGCUCUUGCGGCCACAGGCGCGGCGUCCUCGGCGGCGGGCGGCAGCUAGCGGGAGCCGGGACGCCGGUGCAGCCGCAGCGCGCGGAGGAACCCGGGUGUGCCGGGAGCUGGGCGGCCACGUCCGGACGGGACCGAGACCCCUCGUAGCGCAUUGCGGCGACCUCGCCUUCCCCGGCCGCGAGCGCGCCGCUGCUUGAAAAGCCGCGGAACCCAAGGACUUUUCUCCGGUCCGAGCUCGGGGCGCCCCGCAGGGCGCACGGUACCCGUGCUGCAGUCGGGCACGCCGCGGCGCCGGGGCCUCCGCAGGGCGAUGGAGCCCGGUCUGCAAGGAAAGUGAGGCGCCGCCGCUGCGUUCUGGAGGAGGGGGGCACAAGGUCUGGAGACCCCGGGUGGCGGACGGGAGCCCUCCCCCCGCCCCGCCUCCGGGGCACCAGCUCCGGCUCCAUUGUUCCCGCCCGGGCUGGAGGCGCCGAGCACCGAGCGCCGCCGGGAGUCGAGCGCCGGCCGCGGAGCUCUUGCGACCCCGCCAGGACCCGAACAGAGCCCGGGGGCGGCGGGCCGGAGCCGGGGACGCGGGCACACGCCCGCUCGCACAAGCCACGGCGGACUCUCCCGAGGCGGAACCUCCACGCCGAGCGAGGGUCAGUUUGAAAAGGAGGAUCGAGCUCACUGUGGAGUAUCCAUGGAGAUGUGGAGCCUUGUCACCAACCUCUAACUGCAGAACUGGGAUGUGGAGCUGGAAGUGCCUCCUCUUCUGGGCUGUGCUGGUCACAGCCACACUCUGCACCGCUAGGCCGUCCCCGACCUUGCCUGAACAAGAUGCUCUCCCCUCCUCGGAGGAUGAUGAUGAUGAUGAUGACUCCUCUUCAGAGGAGAAAGAAACAGAUAACACCAAACCAAACCCCGUAGCUCCAUAUUGGACAUCCC